CUCUGUGACUUCUACGGGAGGCAGCAGUGGGGAAUAUUGCACAAUGGGCGCAAGCCUGAUGCUGCCAUGCCGCGUGUAUGAAGAAGGCCUUCGGGUUGUAAAGCACUUCAGUUGUGAGGAAGGUGGUGUCGUUAAUAGCGGCAUCAUUUGACGUUAGCAACAGAAGAAGCACCGGCUAACUCCGUGCCAGCAGCCGCGGUAAUACGGAGGGUGCGAGCGUUAAUCGGAAUUACUGGGCGUAAAGCGCAUGCAGGUGGUUUGUUAAGUCAGAUGUGAAAGCCCGGGGCUCAACCUCGGAACUGCUAUUUAGAAACUGGCAGACUAGAGUACUGUAGAGGGGGUAGAAUUUCAGGUGUAGCGGUGAAAUGCGUAGAGAUCUGAAGGAAUACCGGUGGCGAAGGCGGCCCCCUGGACAGAUACUGACACUCAGAUGCGAAAGCGUGGGGAGCAAACAGGAUUAGAUACCCUGGUAG
rnacentral:rRNA from 1 species